UCAGCGGGGUCAUCCUGACUGUCUCUACCAACGUCAGCGGGGUCAUCCUGACUGUCUCUACCAACGUCAGCGGGGUCAUCCUGACUAUCUCUACCAACGUCAGUGGUGUCAUCCUGACUAUCUCUACCAACCUCAGUGGGAUGUCCUGACUGUCUCUACCAACGUCAGUGGGGUCAUCCAGACCUGUCUCUACCAACGUCAGCGGAGUCAUCCAGACCUGUCUCUACCAACGUCAGCGGAGUCAUCCAGACUGUCUCUACCAACGUCAGCGGGGUCAUCCUGACUAUCUCUACCAACGUCAGCGGAGUCAUCCAGACUGUCUCUACCAACGUCAGUGGGGUCAUCCUGACUGUCUCUACCAACGUCAGUGGUGUCAUCCAGACUGUCUCUACCAACUGCAGUGGGGUCAUCCAGACUGUCUCUACCAACUGCAGUGGGGUCGUCCUGACUAUCUCUACCAACGUCAGUGGGGACGUCCUGACUGUCUCUACCAACGUCAGUGGUGUCGUCCAGACUGUCUCUACCAACGUCAGUGGUGUCGUCCAGACUGUCUCUACCAACGUCAGUGGUGUCGUCCAGACUGUCUCUACCAGCGUCAGUGGGGUCAUCCAGACUGUCUCUACCAACGUCAGUGGUGUCAUCCAGACUGUCUCUAUCAACGUCAGUGGGGUCAUCCUGACUGUCUCUACCAACGUCAGUGGGGUCAUCCUGACUGUCUCUACCAACGUCAGUGGGGAAAUCUAGGGCCUCUGAGGGCGUAGGACCUUUUUAAUAGCUAUGAAGCAGAGUUGAUUAUGUAUGUAAAGAGAUUAAGUAGUUUUUCCGCUUACAUAAGUAUUGUGCUUGCUAUGUUAAUGAUUUACACUUUUUUCACAUUUUUAUCAGACCGAUUGUGUUUAUCUGACUCUUAUUGAAAUGGUCGAACAAUAAUAACACUAAAUUCAAGAAGAUGAAUGCACAGUAUUUCUUUGUGGAUAUUGUUAUAGGAAAGCAUAUCACAUAUCCGUGGUGGUAGAUGGCCUCCCUUAUCACCGCACACAAAUAAUUGGGCCAGUUACGUAAGUGACAAGCUUCCAUGAUCAAUGGGAAAUGUGAGAAUCAAACUGAUUAAGUAAAGUGAGCUUCACUUUCAAAGGUUGGUCAUUUUAAUUCCCUCCAGUCUCUCUCUCUCUCACACACACAGGGACAACCAUGUGUUUACGGUCCAGAUAACAGCACUUGCUAUUUACUCAAACGAAUGCACAGUGACGAGAUCGUACCUUUUCCUCCACAAGUUCUGGUUCUUCAGUACCAUCUACUACUUUGGUAACUGGGUGUUUAUCGGGGUUUUCCUCAUCGGCCUGUUGGUGUCAUGUUGUAAGGGGAAGAAAUCAGUGAUCGAAGGAGAGGUGGAGGCAGACGACUCUGACAUGAGUGAAGACGAAUACGUCCACUGACAAGACCACAGCCUGCCAGACCUGGGUUCAAAUACUAUUUGAAGUCUUUUAAAUACUUUUGAGCAUUUGCUUAAGUCUGCCUGGGAGUGCCGGGUGGGCGGGGUUUGCAUGUUCUGGACUUUUCUAUGGGUUCACCUGCAAAAGGCAAGCUUAAUCAAAUACAAUUUAAGUAUUUGAAAUUAUUUUAAACAGUGUGCCCUAAUGAAUAUGACCCAGGUCUGCUACCUGCAUGGACCAGCAGACAUUUAAACCGGAUUGGUUUCUGUUACAUCUGGUUUGCUGUAACAUAAUAAUUUGACAUUUGGAUUGUUCAUACAAUGCAGUAAAACAUGAAUUUGAACUUUUGUUUUCUGGUUCUGCCUGAGAUCGGUUCAUAUUACACACCGUUGUGUUGAUACUGAUUUAUUAUAACAGGAGAGAGUGAUUGUGAGGUUGCUUUUUUCUAUUAGGGAAACUUUUUGUUUUUUGUUCAGUCAGGUGUCUUUUUUCAAAGCAGUAUGUAAACCCUUAUUGCAUCCCAAAUGGCACCCUAUUUCAUAUAUAGUGCACUUCUUUUGACCAAAACCCUAUUAGACCCUGGUCAAAAGUAGUGCACUAUAUAGGGAAUAGUGUACCAUUUUGAGAUGCAACCCUCUUUGUAUUACUAUGGGUAUGUGCCUGUUGUUUAAAAUGUCAUCUCCACCAAUUCCAUGUGUUUAUGUUUCCAAAAAGAAAGAUUUAGUGUUGCAAAAUUCUGGUAUCUUUUCCAAAAUGAGAGGAUUCUGAAUUUCCUGCUUAUUUCCCUCACUAUUCUGGGAAUCUUCAAAUGGAGAAUAAAAAGACAUAAAAACCAGGUCAUUUGGGGAAAGUUACCAACGUUUUGCAACCCUAAGAAAGAUCCUUGGCUGAUAACCAAACGGUGGGUUAUUAAACGACCUUCACCCUGUCAUACUGGAUGUUUUGGAUCCUGAGAAGAGAAGAUGUUGUCGGGGAAACAUAUUCCAGGCUUACUUUGUUUCUUAUUUUAACUCAGCACAUUUUUGUUGUCAUGUACAUUUCUGUAAUAUAUGGCUGGAUAAAUGUUUAUUUAAGCCUUUAACAGAUUUAUUAUUUUUAAGAUUACUAACUUAAGCACAUUCAGCAUGUUAACUUACAGCAACAAAUAUGGACAUGUAUUUGAUACCAUAUUGAUAAUGCACAUUGCUGAGUUAAAAUCUAUAUUCUCUUAUCCCUGAUUUUGGUAGUGUUUGGUCGGGCUUAACUUGACUAACUGUUAUUGCGUUGAUGGAUUGAUUUGCUGUAAAGUUAUCUUAACAUGAACUGAGCAUAAUAUCACUUGACUACUGAUCACCAUGUCAAUUUACUUUAUGAAUUUGGAAUAAAAUAUGAAUUCUGAAUUGAU